UUUGAGUACUGGCUCUCCCUUGUGGUGGACUCCUUGACGCCCUGCCGAGACCUUCACUUGUUGCUUUAGCUGCUGGGAGUGCUCUUGGCAGACAGCAUUAAGCUGUCAGCCCCUCUGUAUUGGCAAAGAUUCAGAGAGACUUCUUGCUCAAGUUCACACUCUUCCCUUACUGGCCCACAUCCAUUUACUGAUUAAGGCAGUGGUAUAAAGGCCUGACCAUUUUCACACAAUGCAGGACCACUCUAAUGGGUCAUUUUUGCUCCAGCAACCCCUGUGGAGUCUGUGUUGGAUUUGCAUCACAGAUGAACCUUUCCCUCUGCUCACUCUUGAUGUCUUCCCUCUCUCCCACAGAUAUUGAUCACAAGGUUACUCCUAAUAAACAUUCUACAUAAGAAACAUCAUAUCAGAGUCUGAUUCCCAGAGACUGAAGUGUGUGACGACUGGUCUGUAGAAUGGUCUGAGAAAGCAGCAGAUGGGGUUUUGGAGUGGGAUCACUUGAAGCCUGGCUGGCAAUGUCAACUGCAUCACUGGGAAUCCAGUGUUCUUAUCUUAGAAAAACAGAAUUGGACUGGCUAAAGCAAGUUAUAAAUUCUAAAGGGGAGAGAAUAAAUGAGAAGUGGUUCAGAGACUCUGAGGAACCAUCGAACAUAAAAGUGAUAUUUCAGAGAUAUGCUUUGGAAAGAUUACUUCAUCAGGUUAUUUGGAAAAUAGAGAAACAUUUGUAACCGUGCAAACAACUCAGAAAGUCAUCACAUAAUUAAGGUAAGUAGUAAAGAGGACUGACCUAAAUUCGUGGUGUGGAAAUAGAAAGGAGACAGACCUGGAGGGCAGCAAUCAAGGAGAACGCAUAAUUUCUUGGCACUCAGUUGGAUAUGGGUAAUGACAGAGAGGAGAGAGCCAACAAUCACUCCAAUAUGUUGAGAAGGGGUAGCUAGAAGAAUGGUGAUGUCAUUAAGAGAUGUGGAAAAGGCAGGAGGAAGAGCUGAAUAUGGG
rnacentral:lncRNA from 1 species